rnacentral:misc_RNA from 1 species
CACAAUAAAAUAUGAAGGCUGUACGCGGCUGUGCUCUCGGGCCAGUUUUGCGGAGGCUGAAUUAUUUAUUAGCCCUUGGUCAUUUAGGAAAGUCGUCACAGGUUUCGUAGGUUACCUGGGGCUAAGGGUUCGGGCCCCUGCGCACCGUAGGGGGGACCAUCAUAAACCUUUUUAUGCAGUUGCAAUCAGCGUCAGUAUAAACAAUGUAAUCAUUUA